rnacentral:pre_miRNA from 1 species
GUUACUAAUCAUUCCAAUCUGCCACUGCAAAUAUUAAUCAUUUGACUUUUGGUCCUAAUUAGUUUUUUUUUGCUGAGAUGGGCUAUCAUUAGCGACGUGGUGCCUAUGUGGCAAGUGAUGAUUGGACGAGGUGGUUGGCUUAAAUAGGUCUUUUGUCCCUGCAAAUAUAUAUCAUUUGAAUUUUCAUCCCUAAAGUUACUAAUCAGAUGUAAUUAGGACUAUUUUUCAAAUGAUUAAUAUUUGCAGUGGCAGAUUGGAAGGAUUAGUAA